rnacentral:rRNA from 1 species
GACAGAGGGUGCAAACGUUGUUCGGAAUUACUGGGCGUAAAGCGCGUGUAGGCGGCUCGGAAAGUCGGGUGUGAAGGCCCUGGGCUUAACCCAGGAAGUGCACUCGAAACUUCCGAGCUGGAGUCCUGGAGAGGAAGGCGGAAUUCUCGGUGUAGAGGUGAAAUUCGUAGAUAUCGAGAGGAACACCGGUGGCGAAGGCGGCCUUCUGGACAGUGACUGACGCUGAGACGCGAAAGCGUGGGGAGCAAACAGG